AACACUAAACUCAAAAGGGGAGAGAUUAAAAAAAAGAAGAAGAAGAAGAAAAAUUCAAAGAAAAAGCUGUAUGGUGUAUGUUUGUUCACAGUUCACUCACAUGAAAGAUGAAACAAAUCUAAAAAGGAUCUCCACAACCCCUUUUUUUUAGCCUUUCUUUUUGGUUUUCAUUCAAUUCCUAUUCCUUAUUUUCCUUUUUUUCCUUUUCUUCUUUCUUCCUUCUCGAAAAAUAUACGAAGAAACAGUGAAAAAAAAAAAAAAACUCAAUUUUCUUACAGUUAUUACUCAUCACUUACUCAUUCAUUCAUAAAUCUAAAACAACCCAUUUCUCAAAAUCCUCUUGGCACUAAUGGGUCGCUCUUCUUUUCUCUCAAUUCUUCUUCUUCUUCUUUCUUUCUUAUUCGCUCUCGGUUUCUCUAAUGGAUUUGGAAGAAGGAAUUUGAGGAUGGUGGUGGAGCCUCUUGAUUCACAUCAUAACUCCAGACUUCUACUAGAGGAAAAUGGAAGAAAAUGGAGGAUGGUGAUGAUGGAGACAAUGGAUUAUGCAGAUCCAGAACCAAACACAAACGUAAGAGGUGGCUAUGCUUCUCCACCUCCUCCAAAUCAUGGAUGAAUUUUAAUUCAAUUCUCUAUAAAUUAAAAUAAAGGCUUUUCUUUAAUUUUCCUAUUUUGUGUUCGUGUGUGUGUGUGGGUGUGGGAAUGUUAUUUUGUUCAUAGUAUUUGUUUUGGGAGAGGUAGGGAAAGAAGGGUUGAUGUUGAAUUACCUAAUUUUAUUUUGUAAAGUGGAUUUGUUUGUGGUUUGGAUGUGGAUUGAUAAAUCAUGCAUUUUAUUAAA